ACGGCGGCCGUAACUAUAACGGUCCUAAGGUAGCGAAAUUCCUUGUCGGGUAAGUUCCGACCCGCACGAAAGGCGUAACGAUUUGGGCACUGUCUCAACGAGAGACUCGGUGAAAUUAUAGUACCAGUGAAGAUGCUGGUUACCCGCGACAGGACGGAAAGACCCCAUGGAGCUUUACUGCAGUUUGAUAUUGCGUGUUUGUAUCACAUGUACAGGAUAGGUAGGAGCCGAAGAUACCGGGACGCCAGUCUCGGAGGAGGCAACGGUGGGAUACUACCCUUGUGAUAUGACCACUCUAACCCGCUGCUCUUAGCGAGCAGGGAGACAGUGUCAGACGGGCAGUUUGACUGGGGCGGUCGCCUCCAAAAAUGUAACGGAGGCGCCCAAAGGUUCCCUCAGAAUGGUUGGAAAUCAUUCGUAGAGUGUAAAGGCAGAAGGGAGCUUGACUGCGAGACCUACAAGUCGAGCAGGGACGAAAGUCGGGCUUAGUGAUCCGGUGGUUCCGCAUGGAAGGGCCAUCGCUCAACGGAUAAAAGCUACCCUGGGGAUAACAGGCUUAUCUCCCCCAAGAGUUCACAUCGACGGGGAGGUUUGGCACCUCGAUGUCGGCUCAUCGCAUCCUGGGGCUGUAGUCGGUCCCAAGGGUUGGGCUGUUCGCCCAUUAAAGCGGUACGCGAGCUGGGUUCAGAACGUCGUGAGACAGUUCGGUCCCUAUCCGUCGCGGGCGUUGGAAAUUUGAGAGGAGCUGUCCUUAGUACGAGAGGACCGGGAUGGACACACCGCUGGUGUACCAGUUGUUCUGCCAAGAGCAUCGCUGGGUAGCUAUGUGUGGACGGGAUAAACGCUGAAAGCAUCUAAGCGUGAAGCCCCCCUCAAGAUGAGAUUUCCCAUCACUUUAAGUGAGUAAGACCCCUGAGAGAUGAUCAGGUAGAUAGGUUGGGAGUGGAAGUACAGCGAUGUAUGGAGCGGACCAAUACUAAUCGGUCGAGGACUUAACCAAUUU
rnacentral:rRNA from 1 species